UACGUAGGGGGGCUAGCGUUGUCCGGAAUCAUUGGGCGUAAAGAGCGUGUAGGCGGCCAGGUAGGUCUGCUGUGAAAACUCGAGGCUCAACCUCGAGACGUCGGCGGAAACCAUCUGGCUAGAGUCCGGAAGAGGAGAGUGGAAUUCCUGGUGUAGCGGUGAAAUGCGCAGAUAUCAGGAAGAACACCCGUGGCGAAGGCGGCUCUCUGGGACGGUACUGACGCUGAGACGCGAAAGCGUGGGGAGCGAACAGG
rnacentral:rRNA from 1 species